AUCUAUCCAUUCGGGCGCCACACAAGUCAAGAAGCUUACAGCCAUGGGCCAUGGCGACGGCGGAGGCGGGGUACGAUGGAUUUGAGUUCUCCAGUUGACAGGAAUUUCUUCUACCAGAUCUUGCCGGUGGCGAUUGCGUACUGGCAGGAGAAACCAACCAAACUCUAGUCUGCACGACCACUGACUCGAGCAUUGGCGAUGUGGGUGAUGCAACGCUGACAGUACAGCUAGAUUUAAACAACACUUGCGAGGGGGUGACCUUGUCCACGCCCAAUUCAGAGCAGUCAACUGGCUAACAUGCUUUUCAGGCGCCCGGCUGGACCAAGAGACAUCUCCAGUAAUGAAAAUGAACACACCACUGGAAUUGCAUGCUAGUGGUGUCUGUCUACACUUGGGCUAUAUUUGAAAAUUUUGGUGAAGUUAUAUAGGAAUCAAUGCACUACAAAGUAGAGGAGAUCAGUAAAGGAAAAAUCCUAUUUUGUGCGGCAAUAUCAUCCAGAGAAACACGGGAAGUGGUGCAGGGUUGUGUAUAAAGUUGAAGUUUUUGAGGAAGGGAAGGAACUGAUAUGCGAGUGUGCUAAUUUUGAGCACACAUGCUUGCUGUGCUGCCAUUCAGUAAAGGUCCUCGUUUUCCUUGGCGUAGAUUGGUCCAAGCAAAACAUAUUUUGAAAUGUUGGAAAAAAGAUGCAAGGGAUGUACUGCCAACCCACUUGUCGCAUCUUUACAAGGAUAACAUUUCUGUGAGCUCAAUAACAUUCAGGCACUGAAAUCUGUACACACAUGCUCUUGAGGUUGUGAGACUGGGGGAUGCAAACACUGAAGCAUAUGAUUGUGCAAUGGAUAUGCUGAAGAGAACAGUGGAAAAAUUGACACCCAUAGCCGCUGUGCAGGAUGGAAUGGGGUUGGAAGACAGAAUUCAGACAAACAGGGGGAAAGAGAAAGAAGUGCUCCCAGCACGGGCAACCGGCAAUGCUUGUGGAAGCGAUGCUGAAGGUAGUGCAAUUGGUGGUUUCGUAGGUCUGAAAGCUCCAGAACGGAAACGAAAGUCUGGUCGACCAACCACAAGCAGGGAUAAGCCUCCAUAUGAUGAUCACGAUCUGCUUUACUGUGGUCUAUUUCGACCUGCAGAAAUGAUCAUGUCCUUUGAACACAGAAGGACUAUUGAUCCUUUUGUGAUUCUUCAUAAGGCUUGUCGGCUCAUUGAUUCUUAAAGAGGUGAUCUUCCUCAAAAAGAAAGGAAAGAGGCAAAAUAUUUAAACUGCGGGGGUCGGUGGUCACAAGGAAGGUUGUGCUGCAUGUUGUUGAAAAUGCUACUUUAGAGGCAAAUGCAAUUUGUGGGUGACUUUGUUUAGUUUCAGUAUUUUUGUUCUGUGGUUGAGGGCUUAAUAGCCGCUAAUUGUAAGACGGUGUUGUUGUGAUAAUAACUAGUACUACAGUUGUGAUUGUGUCUCACUUUG